rnacentral:lncRNA from 1 species
GAUUUCCUCUCCCCGCCGCCCGCGCUCUCUCUCCUCCUGCGCCCAGGCCGGUUCCGGAUCCGGGCGGCGACGGUGCAAGAUGGGGGCGCACAGGGGACGGUCCUGGAGCCCGGGAAGGGUGCGAGAUGGAGACGGCGGUUCAGAAAAGUUGUCAGGUCUCCAGCGCGGGCAGCGGCGGGAGCUGGAGCCGCGGUGGAGACGACCCGAGGGGACGCAGACCGCCUGGCACAAAGGGCCACGGGCGCGAGGGACUCGAUGAGCUGGGAGGACGCGGCCCCGGCAAGUGCGGCGCGCUGGGGCCGGUGCUUGGCGCCUUCCCUGGCACAGAGAGUCAAGGGAUUGGAUUGUGGAUUGCAUUGGUGGUUUUCCUCAGUUUCCUCAUCUUCUCCCCAAGUUUCUACAUAUUGAAUGCAGAGCAGCCCUUCUUCAAAGGACCUCCUACUGAACCUGCUAAGGAACUCAGUCUGUAGCUCUGCGUGGAGCCAUGUGUAAACACUGAACUGAGGCCUGCCACCUCCUACUACCUAAGGGCCCCUUUUCAUCUGAGAUCAUCCCCCAGAAACAAACUCAUGCUGACUUUCAUGUUUUUUUAGAUUACAUACAUGGAGAAUUUUCCUUUCCCUUAGAAUUAAAAUCCUGCAUUCUAAUUUUCAGUAAGCUUUUUUAUUUUGUAAUAAUUUUAAAUUUAAAGAGAAGUUGCAAAGAUAGUAUAGAAUGUUUCCUUAUAUCUGUUUUUAUUUAGAGUGAUGUUCCCAGGAGGAAUGAUAAUGCAGCAAUGGAUAAGGACAGGAACAAGAGACAGUCUUAUCAUCUUCUUACAACUUGUAGAUGGGACAGUGGAAAGAGACG